rnacentral:lncRNA from 12 species
GGGGGUUCCGGACGUCGGCUGUGUGUGCGGAGGCCGUGCCAGCUCUGCCGGUCGCCAGCUCCGUGUUUACUGGCAAAGCGUGGUUUAGGGUGUAUGUGGGUGGACACCGGGAGGAGAGUGAGCUGUGAGAGCAGCAUCCGCGUAAGUAACUUGUGUGUGGAACUGAGGGAACUCGGGGGGCCGAAGCGUGUGUAUUUUUGAGCUAAAUCCUAGCUUAUGUGUGAGCCCCCGUGGAGGGUUCUGACUGAGGCAAAGCUGAGCUCGAGGGAGUGUGCGAGGCAAACUAAUUGUGAGGCAAAUUCUGGGGCAGAAAGCACCAUCUGGGGUCCCAAACACGAGGUCUUGGUUUGAGGGUGCGGGUGUGCGAGGCACCACCGUGAGGCCGCUCUACGAGGAGGAGGCGGCAAGCCCGGGAUUACGCGUAAGCAAAGUGCGGGACUAAGUCGGCUAACCCCUGUGCGUGUGCGUGUGCGUGUGCGCGCGUGCGAGAGGUGUUGCUGCACCCGAGUGCGGCUUCGAGGCGCACCGGCCGAGCCACCGGAGCGGCGGUCCCAGGGG